GUUCCGCUCCGGGCGCAAGCGCCGCCGGUGGGGUACCUCCGCCGGGCAGUACACCCGCCGCGCCGCUCGCCUCACGGCGCUACCUUCUCCGCCCUUUCCCCGCGGCUCACAUCGCCGCACCGGGGCCGGAACUACUGCUGUGUGCCAGUUUACUGAACCAUGGCUUGCUAAAGAGAUUGCUGGGGUCACAGAUUGAAAAAACAAAGAACAUAACCACCACCUAAUGCUGAAGUUUAUGCCUAGCAAAGAAAAGAGGCAGAAAAGAAACUCAUGAAAGGCAGCAAUCUUUUUGCUCUCUACUUGUCUACAAAUUCUCCAUCUUUGAUGUCACACGUUCAGGAGGAAAGGCUAGCAGUCUGUCAACACACAGUGAUUUUGACUCUACCCCCUGGCGUGACUCCUGCACUGCUUAGAGAUUUGGCACACAGCUUUGAUGUCACUUCCUAAAUGAAUCUGGACAAAUCUGUGGGUAAACUGUGUUACCCAUACUCUUAUGAGAAAGUCAGCUCACUCCAUGAGAACAGGUGACAGGAUCCCAGCAGUCACCUUGAAAAGAAUUACACCAGUGCCCUUUCCAUUCAAGUCCAGGACCUUUCUAGGGUUCUCUACUCACAUGAUAAAAUCUGAUGAUCUUUAUUCAUGUAAAUCUUAACCACGAUCAGGAAGUUUUUGCUUUCAGUAUUAGAGAGCAAAAACUUUGUGUAUGUCUGCACUGCACUCCCUCGGGCAACUGCAACUCCUGAAUGCUUUUGACUGGCUAGCUCGGGUGCCAAAAGCUUUCUAAGAAACUGAAGGGCUGGCUCUCCAUGUGCUACAACAGUACUGCCCUGUUAGGCUUUCUAAAUGACUGUGCCUGCAAGGGAGGGCUGUAGCCACUGCAUUAUAAAUGUAGCCUACACAAUUCUGAACAAAGUCCAACAUACUCUG